UACGUAGGGGGCGAGCGUUGUCCGGAUUUAUUGGGCGUAAAGAGCUCGUAGGCGGUUCGAUAAGUCGGACGUGAAAUCUCCACGCUCAACGUGGAGGGGCCGUUCGAUACUGUCGUGACUCGAGUCCGGUAGGGGAGUGUGGAAUUCCCGGUGUAGCGGUGAAAUGCGCAGAGAUCGGGAGGAACACCCGUAGCGAAGGCGGCACUCUGGGCCGGAACUGACGCUGAGGAGCGAAAGCGUGGGGAGCAAACAGG
rnacentral:rRNA from 1 species